ACACCUGUUGGAGAUACCUUCAUCUUCCCCUCGAUAACCCUGGAGAGAUUUUUGACAUCGUCCUUGGAGAUAUGACGAGGGCGGCUUAGCCAAAGCCCGCCAUCAGCAACAAUGGUAGUUCCGUUGACGUAUUUACCUGCAUCAGAAGCCAAGUAAAGGGCAGCCAUUGCGAUAUCCCAUCUCUCCCCUAGUUUAUACAGAGGCAUGUAUUCACGGGUUUUGCUCUUCAUCUCGUCUGGUGAAAGUUUUCUCAUUCCGGGAGUACCUUCAAUUGGCCCUGGAGCAAUUCCAUUGACCCUAAUAUCAUAAUCAGUUCCCCACUCCAGAGCCAAAGAUCUUGUUAUGCUAUCUACCGCUGCCUUCGCAGCAGACACAUGGAUUUGGUACCAAGAUGCCGUAUAAUGGAGGGUCGCACUUAUGUUAAGGAUAAGGCCACCGGUUGAUGGAGCUUUUCCUGGUCCUCCUACUUUCAGAUAUUUUAG
rnacentral:misc_RNA from 1 species